UACAGAGGGUGCGAGCGUUGUCCGGAAUCACUGGGCGUAAAGGGCGCGUAGGCGGCUUGAUAAGCGUGCGGUGAAAGCCCGGGCUCAACCCCGGGUCGGCCGUGCGAACUGUCGAGCUGGAGCACUGUAGAGGCAGGUGGAAUUCCGGGUGUAGCGGUGGAAUGCGUAGAGAUCCGGAAGAACACCGGUGGCGAAGGCGGCCUGCGUGGGCAGUGGCUGACGCUGAGGCGCGACGAGC
rnacentral:rRNA from 1 species